CCCUCACUUUCGAUCAAUUGUUGCUCCACGAGAUAAACGUUGGACGCAAGACAUGGGUUCCUGUGUUGCAUACCUAUUGCGACGGAAAUGUGUGCCUUCGAUCGUCCCUUCCAUCACGGCGUCCUCACGGAUGCUCGGUUGGACCGGAUAGUGGGGCUCGUGUUCCACGAACGUCGUCUCUCAUUCGAUCGUUCGGAUGGACCACGGGUGCCUACUCGUUCUCUCGGAUGCGGAACUCUCUUAAUGGGCGUGGGGUCAUUGGCCCUUGGUCCCUAAUCGUUAAGCGUUUAUCGCUUCACCGGAAUGACGAUCUCGCCUUGUCCUUGACCACGCGAAGCCCUCGGGCAUCGCGAUGGAUCAUGCUCGGCGGACGUCGUGAAGGAAUGC
rnacentral:misc_RNA from 1 species